GCUGGGCAUGGUGGCGCAUGCUUGUAAACCCAGCUACUUGGGAGCCUGAGGCAGCAGGAUCACAAAGUCAAGGCCAACCUUGGCAACUUAAUAUGGUCCUGUCUCAAA
rnacentral:sRNA from 1 species